UGAAACCUUGCCUGGCCUGGCCCCUACUUCUCCUUCUCCAGCCUCUUCUUUUCUGAACUCCAGUCACUCUGGUCCUUCUCAAGCCUGCGCUCCCCCAAACCACAGAGCGUUUGCCCGUGCUAUUCUUUCUGUCUGAAAUGAUUUUUUUCUCACUCCCAUUACAAGGCUCUUUACCUUGUUAAUUUCUACUUCUCUUUCAAGCCUUAGCUCUUGCCUGAUCUCUUGGAGCCUGAGGUGACCGUUUCCCCUGUGAUAUGUUUCCUGGGUAACUCCACACGUGUGUGUGCUCAGUCAUUCAGUCGUGUCCGACUCUGUGACCCCGUGGACGGUAGCCCCCCAGUAUCCUCUGUCCAUGGGAUUUCCCAGGCAAGAAUACUGGAGUGGAUCGUCAUUUCCUUCUCCAGAGACUCUUCCUGAUCCAGGAAUCCAACUCGAGUCUCUUGCGGCUCCUGCAUUGGCAGGCAGAUUCUUUACCAUUGUGCCACCUGGGAAUCCCAGGGAAACCCUAGCCUAGCACAAAACUUGGCCCAAAGGAGGGGCUCUCUGGAUGUUUAAUGAGUGAGUGAAUGAGAGCGAGUCAUCCAGCUUUCUGAGUGUGUUCCUUUUGAAUGCACCCCAAAAUGAUCUCAAAGAUAUUAUUUGAGGCAUGAGUGUUGAAAAGGGGGGAAAAAAACCUGUAGGACUGGAACUAGAUGAUUGCCUGAUGUUUCUGGAAUGUAAGUAGAUGUAUUGGGACAUACUGGAGAGGGCCUCCCCUGCGUGAGGAUUCCUGCACAUGUUCCUGCAUGUGAAAGCCAGAAAACCCUGUGCCAGCAACACUAGAAGAGAAAUCAAUUCUCACCAGCAACUGUAAAAGUGCCUGUAAAAAGGCCAGAGCCCUGGGGGAAUUUGGGAAGGGAAGCAGCCAGGGGGAGACCGAGGGAGAAGAGGGUGGGGAGACUUUGCCUUCCAUCCCAGCCCUCAGGAAAGCUCAGCCCCCCAAGGCUACAUCACCACCAAGGGCCCCUCACUUUAGCACAUCUUGAUAGCUAUCUUACCUUUACCCCCAUCCCCUCAACAUCUAGUCUGCCUCCAGCUCAGAUCCUUGCCCUGAAAAAUCUUAAAUUCCGUGUGCUCUUCCCAUACUCACCUGCGUGCCCGGGAGCGGGUAAGCGCUCGGAGCCCGGUGCCGCCCCAGGGAGGGGCGCCGGGGCCCCUGCGGCUCGCAGUCCGGCCA
rnacentral:lncRNA from 1 species